rnacentral:rRNA from 1 species
GGACGAACGCUGGCGGCGUGCCUAACACAUGCAAGUCGAGCGAGGAGAUCCUUCGGGAUGAUCCUAGCGGCGGACGGGUGAGUAACACGUGGGCAACCUGCCUCAUAGAGAGGAAUAGCCUUCCGAAAGGGAGAUUAAUACCUCAUAACAUUGCAGUUUCGCAUGAAACAGCAAUUAAAGGAGCAAUCCGCUAUGAGAUGGGCCCGCGGCGCAUUAGCUAGUUGGUGAGGUAACGGCUCACCAAGGCGACGAUGCGUAGCCGACCUGAGAGGGUGAUCGGCCACAUUGGGACUGAGACACGGCCCAGACUCCUACGGGAGGCAGCAGUGGGGAAUAUUGCACAAUGGGGGAAACCCUGAUGCCAGCAACGCCGCGUGAGUGAUGACGGCCUUCGGGUUGUAAAGCUCUGUCUUCAGGGACGAUAAUGACGGUACCUGAGGAGGAAGCCACGGCUAACUACGUGCCAGCCGCCGC